AUUGAACGCUGGCGGCAGGCCUAACACAUGCAAGUCGAGCGGAUGAGAAAAGCUUGCUUUUUGAUUCAGCGGCGGACGGGUGAGUAAUGCCUAGGAAUCUGCCUGUUAGUGGGGGAUAACCCGGGGAAACUCGGGCUAAUACCGCAUACGUCCUAUGGGAGAAAGUGGGGGAUCUUCGGACCUCACGCUAACAGAUGAGCCUAGGUCGGAUUAGCUAGUAGGUGAGGUAAUGGCUCACCUAGGCGACGAUCCGUAACUGGUCUGAGAGGAUGAUCAGUCACACUGGAACUGAGACACGGUCCAGACUCCUACGGGAGGCAGCAGUGGGGAAUAUUGGACAAUGGGCGAAAGCCUGAUCCAGCCAUGCCGCGUGUGUGAAGAAGGUCUUCGGAUUGUAAAGCACUUUAAGUUGGGAGGAAGGGUAUUCACCUAAUACGUGGGUACUUUGACGUUACCAACAGAAUAAGCACCGGCUAACUCUGUGCCAGCCGCCGCUGUAACAC
rnacentral:rRNA from 1 species